rnacentral:lncRNA from 1 species
AGUUUCUCCUGGAAGAAUCGCGGGGCCACCCCGACUCAACUCGCCGAGUCUGAAGAACAACUCGACGAGUCCCAGUUAAUCUUCAAGCUACUCGCCGAGUCUGUUCAUCGGACUCGGCGAGUCCAUGCCAUGCAACCGCUCAAACUGCUUUCUAAGGUCAGAACUGCUCCGACCAUUCAUAGGUCUGGCCUUCCUAGACUGAUUCAUCACGUAAGGUCCUCAUUUCGGUGCUCAUAAUACACCCCAUGACUCAUAAUUUACAUUUUGACCUAAGGCAUAAGGAUUCCAAUCCAAAACCUCCAUUGAUUCCCGAAAUGCUCAGGCAUGGGACAUUCUGGACUUCUAAGGAUCCCAAUACAGGAUUCCAAUUGUUUGGGGGACUAAGGUAACACUCAACCUAGCCACAAAAGGGUUCAAUAAACCCUAAAUCCAUAUACACAUCAACAUAGAAGGAUGCAACUCGAAAUAUUACCUGAAUAACGUGCUCUCUGUAUCCCCAAUCCUCAAAACGUGGCUUCCCUUGUUGUUCCCUUAACCAAGCCUCCUCUUCCUUGCAAAACAACACUUCCAAAAUCAACAAUGGUCUUCUACCUUGCUCCAGAUGCUCACAAUCGAAUUAGGGUUUCUCUCAGAGGACUAGGGUGAACAAUGACGGCCAUAAGGUCCCUCAUAUACGUCCCAAACCUGAACGGUUAGGGUUUUCGCUAAACAGCGCAGACUCGCCGAGUCCAUAUCCGGACUCGUCGAGUCCAGUCGCGAACCCGCGACCAGUUCCGCGAUCCUACUCGGCGAGUCUAGGCUCCAACUCGCCGAGUCCCCUCUUAAAACACCCCAAAAACAUAAUUUUAACAAUACCUGAGAUUCCGGGCUGUUACAAUUCUCCCCCACUAGGAUUAGACUUCGCCCUCGAAGUCUCACUCUGAAAAUAGUUCCGGAUGCUGCUCCCGCAUCUCACGUUCCGGCUCCCAAGUCAUUUCCGAUCCCUUCCGGUGUUGCCACUGAACCAACACCAGAGGUACCUCCUUGUUCCUCAGAACCUUGAUCUUCCGAUCCCUGAUGGCCACUGGUCUCUCAGCAUAAUUCAGGCUCGCAUCCACCUGAAUAUCCUCUAAUGGAACCACUGCCGACUCAUCGGCUAUGCACUUCCUCAAUUGCGACACAUGAAAAGUGUCGUGGAUCUGUCCCAACUCCGCUGGCAACUCCAACCGAUAGGCUACCCGACCUAUCCUUGCAAUCACACGAAAUGGCCCAAUAUACCGGGGCCCCAACUUGCCCCUCUUCCUGAAUCGAAUCACUCCUUUCCAAGGAGAGACCUUCAGGAGAACGAAGUCGCCGACUUGAAACUCAAGCUCGGAUCGGCGCCUGUCUGCAUAACUCUUCUGUCGGCUCUGGGCGGUCAAUAACCUCUGUCUAACUUGCUGAAUCUGCUCUGUCGUCUGAAGCACGAUCUCUGUGCUGCCCAUCACUCUCUGUCCCACCUCUCCCCAGCAAAUGGGGGUCCGACACCUCCUACCAUACAACAGCUCAAAAGGUGGCAUACCAAUGCUCGAAUGAUGGCUGUUGUUGUAGGAAAACUCUGCCAAGGGUAAAUACGCAUCCCAGCUACCCCCGAAGUCUAACACACACGCUCGAAGCAUGUCCUCCAGCGUCUGAAUCGUCCGCUCGCUCUGACCGUCUGUCUGGGGAUGGUAUGCGGUACUAAAAUGCAAUUUAGUACCCAGCUCCUCAUGGAAUUUCUUCCAGAACCUGGAAGUGAAACGUACAUCACGGUCUGAAACAAUCGAGAUCGGCACCCCAUGCCGAGAUACCACUUCUCUCACAUAUAUCUCCGCCAACUUCUCCGCUGAAGAACUCUCGCUGAUGGCAAGGAAGUGUGCACUCUUCGUCAACCUAUCCACAAUCACCCAAAUUGCAUCAACUCCCCUGGCAGUCCUCGGCAAUUUGGUGAUGAAAUCCAUAGUGAUCUGUUCCCACUUCCACUCGGGGAUCUCCAAUGGCUGUAACUUGCCAUGCGGUCUCUGGUGCUCGGCCUUAACCCUACGGCAGGUCAAGCACCUCUCAACGAACCAUGCGACGUCCCUCUUCAUACAGGGCCACCAAUACUCUUUCCUCAAAUCCAAAUACAUCUUCGUAGCACCGGGAUGGAUCGAGAAUUUCGAUCUAUGAGCCUCUUCCAUCAAAGUAAUACGCGUACCGCCCACGAACGGUACCCAAAUCCGACCCUGAAACGUCAUAAGCCCUCGUCCAUCCUUAACGAACUCUGAAAUUAACCCAACAACCCGCUCUUUCUUCUGCAUCUCUGGUCGCACAGCCUCGGCCUGUGCCCCACGAAUAGCAUCCAAUACUGGAGUCAUCACAGUCAGUCUCAAGCAUACAUCUCGCAAUGGAGUGCUCUCCGCCCUGCGGCUCAAUGCAUCGGCUACCACAUUAGCCUUGCCUGGGUGGUACAGGAUCUCACAAUCAUAAUCCUUGACCACAUCCAACCACCUCCUCUGACGCAUAUUUAGGUUGGGCUGAUCCAUCAAAUACUUCAAGCUCUUAUGGUCCGUGUAUAUCGUACAUCGAACCCCAUACAAGUAGUGACGCCAAAUCUUGAGAGCGAACACUACUGCCCCCAACUCUAAAUCAUGCGUGGGAUAUCUCGCCUCAUGAGGCUUCAGCUGCCUCGACGCAUAAGCUAUCACAUGACCCCUCUGCAUCAACACUGCACCCAGUCCCGAAAUCGAUGCGUCGCAAUAUACUACAAAAUCUUCCAUCCCUUCCGGGAGAGCUAAUACCGGGGCUUCGCACAACCUCUGGCGAAGUGUCUCAAAGGAGGUCUGCUGCUCGGGCCCCCAUGAGAAUGCAACACCCUUCCGGGUCAAUCUGGUGAGCGGCACUGCGAUCUUGGAGAAAUCCUUAAUGAAUCUCCGAUAAUACCCUGCCAACCCAAGGAAGCUCCUGAUCUCAGAGGGUGACUUCGGCACCUCCCAACUCAUCACCGCCUCAACCUUGGCCGGAUCGACCAAUAUCCCUUUCUGAUUAACAACAUGUCCUAGAAAUUGGACCUCCCGCAACCAGAAGUCACAUUUGGAGAACUUUGCAUAAAGCUUCUCCGACCUCAAUACCUCAAGGACCUCCCUCAAAUGCUCCUCAUGCUGCUCUCUAGAUCUCGAAUACACUAGAAUGUCGUCGAUAAAUACAAUCACUGACCGAUCCAACAUCGGCCUGCAUACCCUGUUCAUGAGAUCCAUGAACACAGCCGGGGCAUUGGUGAGCCCGAAAGGCAUCACCACAAACUCAUAAUGCCCAUAUCGCGUCCUAAACGCUGUCUUCUGGACGUCCUCAUCCCGCACUCUCACCUGAUGGUACCCUGACCUCAGAUCGAUCUUGGAAAACCAAGAUGCUCCCUGCAACUGAUCGAAUAAAUCAUCGAUCCUCGGUAACGGGUAACGGUUCUUGACCGUCAACUUGUUCAACUCCCGGUAAUCAAUGCACAUCCGGUGUGAACCAUCCUUCUUCUUGACGAACAGAAUAGGUGCUCCCCACGGCGAGCUGCUCGGCCGAAUGAAUCCCUUCCCCAGCAACUCCUGAAGCUGCGAGGACAACUCUUGCAUCUCUGGAGGUGCAAGACGAUAAGGCACCUUAGCAAUAGGCGCGGCCCCCGGAACCAGAUCGAUACCAAACUCUACUUGCCUCACAGGAGGUACUCCCGGCAGCUCCUCGGGGAAAACAUCUGGAAACUCACGCACCACUGGGACCUCCUCAACUGAUCUCGGUCUCUCGGAAACCUCCCGCGUAUCCAUCACAUACGCCACAAAACCCUUACAGCCCUGCUGUAGACACUGCCUCGCCCUAGCGGCCGAACAAAAAGCUGAUCCCGAACGGGUACCCUCGCCGUACACCGAAAGAACUCCCCCACUAGGGUCUCGUAUAGUCACCAGCUGACGCUCACAGUCGAUGACGGCGCCGAAUCGGCUCAACCAGUCCAUGCCCACAAUGACACAGACAUCACCCAUCGCAAUAGGAAUCAGAUCAAUCGGAAACUCAACCCCGAAAAUCUCUAACACACAUCCCCGGAGAACCUCCGUGGCACAAAUCACUCUCUCGUCAGCUAUAGAAACUCUCAGAGGCCGACUCAACGACUCACGACUAACGCUGAUAUGCUGACUAAAAGCCAAAGAUACAAAGGACCUACUCGCACCCGAGUCAAAUAACACUAAAGCAGGCACAGAGUUCACAAGGAAAGUACCUACGCAUAUCAUAACAUAAGCAUAACAUCUCGACAUCAAAAUAAAUACAUGAAAUAAAGCAUACCUGCCACAACAUCGGGCGCAGCGCGGACCUCCUCCGCAGUCAGCUGAAAGGCUCUCCCACGAGCCCUCGGGGCCUCGGCCUUCACCGGUCGAGUCUCAGUAGCCCUGGCAGUAGGUGCAGAUCCCUGAAGAAGCUGAGGGCACUCGGCCUUCCGAUGGCCUGUCUGGUUGCAAUGAAAGCAAACCGUAAACCCCUUGGGGCAAUCCCUAGCGAUGUGCCCCUCCUUGCCACACUUGUAGCAAGCACCAGAUCGACAUGCCCCCUCAUGACCCUUGCCGCACUUUCCGCAAGUGCGGCCCUUCGGACCUCCCGUCCUCGAAUCGGCGGACUUAGUCCGCUUGGCUGCCGGCUGAGACUGAGCCGGCCGCCGGUCCACCCGCUGAGACUCGGCCUCCUCCCUGGCCUGGGUCUCCAACUCGAUCUCGCGCUUCCUGGCAUUCGCCUGAAGCUCAGCAAAGGUAUGAUAGGUGGAGUUUGACACAAACUCCCGGAUAUCCCUCCUCAAAACACCCAAGUACCGGCUCAUCCGAGCCUGCUCUGUGGACACCAGCUCGGGGCAGAACAUCGCCCUCUCAUGAAACUUCCGCGUGAUCACCGCAACCGAAUCAGUACCCUGCUUGAGGGUCAAGAACUCCUGAACCAAUCGUUCCCUCUCCACCGGGGGAACGUACUCGUCUCUGAACAUAGAGGUAAACCCCUCCCAUGUCACUGCUGAAAUCUCUGCCAAAGUGAAGUUCGCCGUCACGAACUUCCACCAAUCCUUCGCUCCCAGACGGAGCUGGUUCAAAGCGAACCGUACCCUCAGAUGCUCCGGACAUGAACAAGUGUAGAAGCACCCCUCAAUAUCAGCGAUCCACCUCAUCGCAGCAAUCGGAUCCUGCGUCCCAUCAAACUCAGGUGGCUUCGUGUUGCUGAACUCCCGAAACAGCAACGAGUCACCCCCCUGUGGCCUGGCAGCGGCCACAGCUGCGGUAGCUGCAGCGGCUGCAGCCUCAGUCAAUGCGGCGUACCACUCCUCAAAAGUCUCCAUCAAGGUGGUCUUAAUAGACCCAAACAUCUCUUGAAUCUCAGCCCGUAUCGUUGCAGCCACCUCCUCAUGAAUCAUCUGACGAAUCUCUUUGUCACUCACACCGCUCGAACUCGCUCCGUGGCGUGGUCUAACCAUGAUGUCUCUGAAAUACAAUAUAAAACUAUCAGAGACUCCAUCGAGUAUAACCGCACUCGAUAACGCAACCCUACUCAGUCUCCGAUAUCCAGGGAUUCUUACUUGGGUNUGAAGUUCGCCAUCACGAACUUCCACCAAUCCUUUGCUCCCAGACGGAGCUAGUUCAAAGCGAACCGUACCCUCAGAUGCUCCGGACAUGAACAAGUGUAGAAGCACCCCUCAAUAUCAGCGAUCCACCUCAUCGCAGCAAUCGGAUCCUGCGUCCCAUCAAACUCAGGUGGCUUCGUGUUGCUGAACUCCCGAAACAGCAACGAGUCACCCCCCUGUGGCCUGGCAGCGGCCACAGCUGCGGUAGCUGCAGCGGCUGCAGCCUCAGUCAAUGCGGCGUACCGCUCCUCAAAAGUCUCCAUCAAGGUGGUCUUAAUAGACCCAAACAUCUCCGGAAUCUCAGCCCGGAUCGCUGCAGCCACCUCCUCAUGAAUCAUCUGACGAAUCUCCUCGUCACUCACACCGCUCGUACUCGCUCUGUGGCGUGGUCUAACCAUGAUGUCUCUGAAAUACAACAUAAAACUAUCAGAGACUCCAUCGAGUAUAAUCGCACUCGAUAACGCAACCCUACUCAGUCUCCGAUAUCCAGGGAUUCUUACUUGGGUCUCCCACUGACCCGGUGUCUUCGGUAGUACGGGCCCAAUACUACCGACCACACCGCAUCAGCAUUCAUCCCAAAUCUUCCUCCCCAAACCCCGGAUAGUGAGUACUCUACCUCUGAUAUGCACUAUCUAUCUGCACGCUAUCAAAGCAUCUCAUAUCGGCAAUCCUCCCUAGACUAAGGCAUCACAAAUCAGGCCACUCUAGUCCUAUCAUGAAUACCUAGUCUUCUAGCAUGCAUAACAAUUCAUAUCAUAACUUAUCUCAUAACAUAACAUUGUAAGGUAUUUUGGGGAUCUUUACCGUUCGGGCGCUGACUGAUCGUACACACUGCUUCUUUCUUGUUUACCACAAAAUCAUUUAUAAAAGUUUAUGCCUUUAUUUUAAAAGUUUUCCUCAAAUCCUCGGUUUGAGUUCAGUUACGCCCGAAGGUGCACCCGAAUCCCUCAAACCAAGGCUCUGAUACCAAUUUGUAACACCGUAAAUUUUCAAACAAAUUUUUCAUUUCAAAAUAUAGUAUUUUCAUUCAAAACAAGGCAUAAACAUUUCAAGUGUCAUGUCAAAAUACAAGUCAUCUAAAUCCCAAGAUCACAAAACAUCCUUCAGUGUGUACAGAUCACGCCGGCGCCUUCCCACGGUCCUCGCUAGUACCUGAAACACAUACAUAACAACUGUAAGCAUAAAUGCUUAGUGAGUUCCCCAAUAUACAACUUACGCACAUACGCCUUUCCAGGCCCUGACCUUCCGGUCCAUGUGUCUCAGGGGACUUCCGUCCCUGCUGGGUAAACCUUCCGGUCCUACCCACGCCGACCUUCCGGUCCACAACACAACGCCUUCCGGCCCAUAACAUAAUCGCCUUCCGGCCCAUAACAUAAUGCCUUCCGGCCCACAUAACAUACAUAGCACGUAUAACAAUUAACUUAUCACAUAUAGCACAUAUAUCACAUAUCAUAUCCGACCUUCCGGUCACACAGUCAAACCCUUCCGGGUACAGUAUAGUGAGAAGACUCACCUCGUGAAUGUCGAAAGCUAACAAAUCCCGAAGUCACUCGUACUCGAUCCGCCGAGCUACAAUCUCCCUAUAACAUCAUACAUCUCUUAUUAACACUUUUAUCUUCUAAGUUUGACUAUCCCUAAGAAGUCAAACAUAGGUCAACUCUGGUCAACGGUCAACGGUCAACUUGACCGGACUCGGCGAGUGCUAGGGCGACUCGGCGAGUCUAGACGUCCUCACCAAUUCUCUAAGAUUCCCUUUCUACUCGUCGAGUAUCCUCCUUGACUCGACGAGUUCCUCCUGGAAGAAUCGCGGGGCCACCCCGACUCAACUCGCCGAGUCUGAAGAACAACUCGACGAGUCCCAGUUAAUCUUCAAGCUACUCGCCGAGUCUGUUCAUCGGACUCGGCGAGUCCAUGCCAUGCAACCGCUCAAACUGCUUUCUAAGGUCAGAACUGCUCCGACCAUUCAUAGGUCUGGCCUUCCUAGACUGAUUCAUCACGUAAGGUCCUCAUUUCGGUGCUCAUAAUACACCCCAUGACUCAUAAUUUACAUUUUGACCUAAGGCAUAAGGAUUCCAAUCCAAAACCUCCAUUGAUUCCCGAAAUGCUCAGGCAUGGGACAUUCUGGACUUCUAAAGAUCCCAAUACAGGGUUCCAAUCGUUUGGGGGACUAAGGUAACACUCAAUCUAGCCACAAAAGGGUUCAAUAAACCCUAAAUCCAUAUACACAUCAACAUAGAAGGAUGCAACUCGAAAUAUUACCUGAAUAACGUGCUCUCUGUGUCCCCAAUCCUCAGAACGUGGCUUCCCUUGUUGUUCCCUUAACCAAGCCUCCUCUUCCUUGCAAAACAACACUUCCAAAAUCAACAAUGGUCUUCAACCUUGCUCCAGAUGCUCACAAUCGAAU